CUGGUCUGAGAGGAUGAUCAGUCACACUGGAACUGAGACACGGUCCAGACUCCUACGGGAGGCAGCAGUGGGGAAUAUUGGACAAUGGGCGAAAGCCUGAUCCAGCCAUGCCGCGUGUGUGAAGAAGGUCUUCGGAUUGUAAAGCACUUUAAGUUGGGAGGAAGGGCAUUAACCUAAUACGUUAGUGUUUUGACGUUACCGACAGAAUAAGCACCGGCUAACUCUGUGCCAGCAGCCGCGGUAAUACAGAGGGUGCAAGCGUUAAUCGGAAUUACUGGGCGUAAAGCGCGCGUAGGUGGUUUGUUAAGUUGGAUGUGAAAUCCCCGGGCUCAACCUGGGAACUGCAUUCAAAACUGACAAGCUAGAGUAUGGUAGAGGGUGGUGGAAUUUCCUGUGUAGCGGUGAAAUGCGUAGAUAUAGGAAGGAACACCAGUGGCGAAGGCGACCACCUGGACUGAUACUGACACUGAGGUGCGAAAGCGCGGGGAGCAAACAGGAUUAGAUACCCUGGUAGUCCACGCCGUAAACGAUGUCAACUAGCCGUUGGGAGCCUUGAGCUCUUAGUGGCGCAGCUAACGCAUUAAGUUGACCGCCUGGGGAGUACGGCCGCAAGGUUAAAACUCAAAUGAAUUGACGGGGGCCCGCACAAGCGGUGGAGCAUGUGGUUUAAUUCGAAGCAACGCGAAGAACCUUACCAGGCCUUGACAUCCAAUGAACUUUCCAGAGAUGGAUUGGUGCCUUCGGGAACAUUGAGACAGGUGCUGCAUGGCUGUCGUCAGCUCGUGUCGUGAGAUGUUGGGUUAAGUCCCGUAACGAGCGCAACCCUUGUCCUUAGUUACCAGCACGUGAUGGUGGGCACUCUAAGGAGACUGCCGGUGACAAACCGGAGGAAGGUGGGGAUGACGUCAAGUCAUCAUGGCCCUUACGGCCUGGGCUACACACGUGCUACAAUGGUCGGUACAGAGGGUUGCCAAGCCGCGAGGUGGAGCUAAUCCCAGAAAACCGAUCGUAGUCCGGAUCGCAGUCUGCAACUCGACUGCGUGAAGUCGGAAUCGCUAGUAAUCGCGAAUCAGAAUGUCGCGGUGAAUACGUUCCCGGGCCUUGUACACACCGCCCGUCACACCAUGGGAGUGGGUUGCACCAGAAGUAGCUAGUCUAACCUUCGGGAGGACGGUUACCACGGAGUGAUU
rnacentral:rRNA from 1 species